rnacentral:rRNA from 1 species
AAUAUUGGACAAUGGGGGCAACACUGAUCCAGCCAUGCCGCGUGUGUGAAGAAGGUCUUCGGAUUGUAAAGCACUUUAAGUUGGGAGGAAGGGCUUUAGGUUAAUACCCUGAAGUUUUGACGUUACCAACAGAAGAAGCACCGGCUAACGCUUUGCCACCAGCCGCGGUAAUACAGAGGGUGCAAGCGUUAAUCCGAAUUACUGGGCGUAAAGAGCGGCGAGGUGGUUCCGUAAGUGGGCUGUGAAAUCACCGGGCUUAACCUGGGAACUGCUUUCAUAACUGCUGUGCUAGAGUACGGUAGAGGGUAGUGGAAUUACCUGUGUAGCGGUCCUCUGCGUAGAUAUAGGGAGGAACACCAGUGGCGAAGGCAACUACCUGGACUGAUACUGACACUGAGGUGCGAAAGCGUGGGGAGCAAAC